UCCUUCCCCCUCCCAGCCCCCACAACAAUUUUGUUAUUACAAAGUUAAUUUUCUGCCACCUCGCAAGGUCAGUGUCCGAAAAGCUUUGUUGCAGGAAGAGGCAAGAGGUCGGAUGGCUGGACAGAGGGAAAGGAGCACCGGGGCAGCGUCAGGUUAGCAGGUGGUAAAAGCAGCCGAAGGGGAAGCGUGGGCACACUAAUGCAGGGAAACAACCGGCUGGGUCCAAAAGUCAUUCUUCAACCGUUAUGCUUCCUUAGGUCAAAAAUCCUCCGAGCUGGUUGGUGAGUUACUUGCCUGAGUGUUCUGAGUGAGUUUCCACUGUGUGGGGUGGUUGCUGUAGUUCUUCGGCUGUGGAUGAGAUAGCCAGGCUUUGUCCAGCACAGGUCUCCCCCGUGUUCAGCAGGAUUUGUGAUAGGACGCUGUGUGAAGAGCUCAAAUUUAUUGUAGUUAGCUUUUAACUCUUUCUGCAGACUAUCCGUUGCCCAAAGGUUAAGCCUUUCUUGUUAAUUAAAAGCACUUUGCUGCCUGUGACCGAUCUAUCCGGUAGGAGUUGCCUUGCAGUGAUCAGAACUGAUUAAAAUAAAGGAUGGAGGUUAUUUUUACUACUGAUGAAGUGGUUACAGAGGUUUAGAUCAAAUUAAAUAGAGGAUAAGAUUUACCACUGAUUGAAUUAAAUGGAAGGCUCUGUAAAUAUGAAGAUGGAGGUUUGCUGUCUCCCUGGUGUUUCUAAACCCAUGGCUAUUUUUAAACCUUUCUCAUUCCAGUACGUAUAUUCGGGGGCACCCUGUGAAAACCACAGUCUUCCCUCCUGCCUAAUGAAACCAGCUGAAGCAGCUCCUUCACUGAUGCAGCUACAGGCAGCUCUGGGAGCAGCUGCUUCCUGUUUAUAAAGGCUGCUGCUCCACCUGACAGCAUCAAUCUCCAGCAUGACUUGGUGAGCAGGGCUUGCUUUCUCUUGCCAUGCUGGCGAAUUUGCUCCUGCAGACAAAUUCAGCGAGCAGUUGCGGUGCAGAAUGCCGCAUCGAGGCGCUUUCCAAGCAAGCGCCCCGCAGCCCAGCGUUGUGCAGCAUCACCUGCUGGGAUCCUGCUUGUUGGAGCUGGGCUGCACAGUGCCUGCCAGAAGGCAGCAGUGAGGUUCCAGCUGUCCUCCUAGUCCCCAAGACCUGGUAGCACGUGGGCUCUGUGACGCUCCGGUCUGCUCAUCCUGCACGCAGCCAUGGGCUGUGGCUUGGGCAGGACGUCGUGUUUGCCUUUCAGUGCACUGAGACAACAAAAAUGCUUCGCUGGAGCUCAGCCAGGACUGUUGGAGGGGAGGAGAAGUAAUCUGUUCUGCAUCUCCUGGCCACCCCUAAGAGUGGCUCCUUGUGUCUCUGACAGUACAGGUAUUUUUGAUGCAACAAUCAGCAAUCCCUGUUAGGGACGGGGUGGUGCCGGUCAAUUAACCUUCUCCAGGUGGAAAUAUUUCAAAAAUUACAUUGAAAUUGUAUUUAGAAACAUGCUGACUUACAGCUGUUUGUCUGUCGGGAAUGACUACAACUAACCCCAACUGUGAGCACCUGUAUUUGAACCCUGGAGCCUGUCUUGAGGACAUGCUGCUUCGCUUUCCCCAUGUGCCAGACCCGGAGCAAUGAUCUUGAGCUGCUUUCAGUUUAGUUUGACUUGAAACACCCUUAUUUUCUGCCGUGGUUUCAGUGGAAAUAUUUCUCAAGAAAAAUUGUCCUAAUGGGAUUUCCACUCUCCUGGGACGAGACGUGCUCUGAAAGCAGCUUUUCUAAUUUCAGUGAUGUUCAGAACAAUUCCGAGCUUACGCUUGCUCCUGGUCCCAAAAUGAGCUGUGUCUGCACGCCUCCAUUUCAGAUAAAUAACCUAUCAAAUGACUGUCAUUUACAACGGAUACGAUGUUCAUCUGAAGUUUUAAUUUAAUGAAAUAGUUUUCAAUUCCGGCGUGCCACAUGUAUUGGGAGCAGUGGAGGAAAUAGUCCAGCUCUAGCUGUUCUUCACAGGACAGUUCUCUUUUUUUUUGUCCCUAUUCAGAACGUGCUUUUUUCCUGUCUUUUUAUCAAAAGUACCACCAAAAUCAAUACAGCUUACAGGAGAGAGAAAUACAAAUCAGAACUAAAAGACAACCUCUAGUUUAUUAGGUUUUUAAUUAAACAUGAUGAACACAUUUUAAAUAACACAAAGGCCUCAGGCAGAGCUGCAUCUAAUCGAAACAGAUUAAGUCACCCGUCCACACUUGGGUAGUUAUUAAUUCUGUUUAUUUAUGCAUGCUUGCUGAAGGCAGAGUUCACUGCUGCUGUGUUGCAGUUUAUUGCACAGGGAGGCUUCUGCUGCAUGGAAUUGUGCUCCUCAUUAGCAUUCAGAUGUUGAUCAUGAAGAACGUUGGUGAGGCUAAUUGAACCACCUCUAAAAUUCAGGGCUGCCUUCCGAAGUUAAGAGGAUCGGGGUGAAGCAGUAGUUUUUGCAUUAUUUCUUGGACUCUUCCUCCUUUUUCUCCUCCGCUUUGUCCCCCCUUUUCAAGAGAUGUUACAAUUCUCAAGAAGCAAAUGCAAAAUGUUCCUUGGGAAGGAGGUUUUACUCAUGCAUCUCCAUGCAGAACUGAUGACACACUGUGACAUCCUUGAUAACUAGCUUUUAUCAUGAAAUAUGCUGCCCUUUAAAUAUUUUACAUUGCUUUUGAUGUAGAGUAGUUGAGGUAAACAACCUAGUUUCAAACAACCUCUUAAAUUUAUGUGCAGGGAUAGUUAAUCCUUGCUGGUGAUAAACCUUAAUUGGCCAUGUACAUGGAUUUACAAGUUCAUAAAUUUUAAAAUAUCCACACCUGGCUUCAGCUUAAAGCUCAUUUGUCAUAAAAUACAAGUGGAGAUCUGUCUGCCAAAAAUGACAAGAUACAGCAAACUAAUUCCCUAACGUGUUUACGAGUGUUUGUAAUCCAGUGUAGCUGGUCAAGAAAUUACUUAUGCAAAACACACGUACUUAUUCGCCUGGCUUUUCUGCCUGGAAUCAUCUUGAAAUGUCUCUCAUCUGCCCUUUUUGGAAUAUCUGCUCAUGAAAACAUUGUUUUCAUUGCUCACUCCUUUGAAGCCAGCCUUUUCAGCUAUGCUGGAAGACAGAGCUGCUUACUGGGGCAAAAAUACCAUGAAUUUUAUUUACUGUUUAUAUGGCAGCCAUAGAAAAUGUGAUUCAUGGCAAAAUUGAAAUAGAGCCUCUCGAAUGGUGAGAAGGAAAAAAAAAAUCAUCAAGGGAUAUUUGAAAAGGAGGCUGGCAUUGCAAGGCUGCGUUUGAGUAAUUGGGUGGGCUUAGAAGGUUAAGAUAUCACUUGCUGCUUGGUUUUAAUUUUUUAUCCAUAAAAAGUAAACAUCAGCUUCUUGGUGGAGUACCAGUUCCUGUUAAUGUUUUCUGGACUUCAGAAAUCACGCCGUCCGGUGCUGCUUGCACGUGCGUUAGUCAAAAGCAGCUGAAAAUUAACUGAGGAUUGAAAGAAAAACAAGCCACGGUCUAGUAAGUCCUCUAUUUUAAUAAGAAUAAAUCAAGUUUUAGUUUAAGAAAAAAGGUGGGAAUGUACAGUCCCGACUGUGGCAUAUUCUAAGAACUUAGGCUGUAAAAAUAAAUAAAUAAAUCAGUCCUCACGGUAAAAAGUAACUGAUAAAGGACGAGACUCCUCUGCUUUGGG